UAGAAAUAAAAAUAUAUAUAUACAAAAUAAAAUAAUAUAAAAGAUUUCCGGAGCAGUCCUCGUAUUUACUUGGGGAGUACUGCCAUCUGCCGGUAGUUAUCUGGCCCCAGCGUGUCAGCUGGUUUGCUGUCAAUGCCGUUUUCGUGUCGGACGGUAGGUUAAUUUCCACGUGCAGUGCUGUCUAGAAUGUAACAAAUUAAUUGAUGCGGGAUUGAGGGCUGCGCCACCCGAACGGGGUAACCAACAGAACCUGCGGGCCCCUUAUGGUUAACGUAGGCGGGAGCACUGUGCCCCAGGUUAGGCAGGACGGGGCGACGGGAAGAUACUACGGAGGUGUACUUCGUUUAAAACCAGGAGUCACGCUCCGAUUUUGUUUUGAAGACACGGACAGUAACCCGUUCGCUAGGGAGUACACCUAGGAACUGGAAUUACUCGGGGAAUUGGGAACUGGUCAGAGUAAUAGAGGUAACGGCUUGCACGUUUUAAUAAAGGGUUGAAAGAU